UACGUAGGGUGCGAGCGUUGUCCGGAAUUAUUGGGCGUAAAGAGCUCGUAGGUGGUUUGUCGCGUUGUCCGUGAAAAACUCACAACUCAAUUGUGGGCGUGCGGGCGAUACGGGCAGACUGGAGUACUGCAGGGGAGACUGGAAUUCCUGGUGUAGCGGUGGAAUGCGCAGAUAUCAGGAGGAACACCGGUGGCGAAGGCGGGUCUCUGGGCAGUAACUGACGCUGAGGAGCGAAAGCGUGGGGAGCGAACAGG
rnacentral:rRNA from 1 species